rnacentral:rRNA from 1 species
UACGUAGGGGGCAAGCGUUGUCCGGAAUUAUUGGGCGUAAAGCGCGCGCAGGCGGUCCUUUAAGUCUGAUGUGAAAGCCCACGGCUUAACCGUGGAGGGUCAUUGGAAACUGAGGGACUUGAGUACAGAAGAGGAGAGUGGAAUUCCACGUGUAGCGGUGAAAUGCGUAGAGAUGUGGAGGAACACCAGUGGCGAAGGCGACUCUCUGGUCUGUAACUGACGCUGAGGUGCGAAAGCGUGGGUAGCAAACAGGAUUAGAUACCCCUGUA